AGUGAUUGCUAUGAGGAUUCCAAAGCUCCCUCUUCUGAGAAAAGUUGAGGAAAUUUGCUGGCAGAAUCGAACCAUUAAAAAUCUAGCCACUACUGAGCAA
rfam:Ipomoea nil DNA, scaffold: scaffold0900, cultivar: Tokyo-kokei standard.